rnacentral:rRNA from 1 species
UACGGAUGAUGCAAGCGUUAUCCGGAUUUAUUGGGUUUAAAGGGUGCGCAGGUUGUUUGAUAAGUCAGUGGUGAAAGUCUGUCGCUUAACGGUAGGAUUGCCAUUGAUACUGUUAGACUUGAAUAUGGAUGAGGUAGGCGGAAUGUGUAGUGUAGCGGUGAAAUGCAUAGAUAUUACACAGAACACCGAUUGCGAAGGCAGCUUACUAAUCCAUCAUUGACGCUGAGGCACGAAAGCGUGGUGAU